rnacentral:rRNA from 1 species
UACGGAGGGGGCUAGCGUUGUCCGAAGUUACUGGGCGUAAAGCGCGCGUAGGCGGGUUGGUAAGUCCGCUGUGAAAGCCCGGAGCUUAACUCCGGAGGGUCGGUGGAUACUGCCAGUCUUGAAGGUGCUAGGGGGAGAUGGAGUUACCGGUGUAGCGGUGAAAUGCGUAGAUAUCGGUAGGAACACCAGUGGCGAAGGCGGUCUCCUGGGGCAUUCUUGACGCUGAGGCGCGAAAGCUGGGGGAGCAAACGGG